CCAAACUCCGUGCGAUCUGCGGAGGUCACACCGAGGUUCCAAGCGUGAGCCGGAAUUACUUGGCGGAAAGAGUUGCGUAGGUGGCAGAGUAAGUCAGUAGUGAAAGCGUGCGGCUCAACCGCAUACACAUUAUGGAAACUGCUCAGCUAGAGGACGAGAGAGGGACCUGGAAUUCCCAGUGUAGGAGUGAAAUCCGGAGAUAUUGGGAGGAACACCGAGGGCGUAGGCAGGGUACUGGCUUGUUCCUGACACUAAGGCACGAAAGCGUGGGUAGCAAACGGGAUUAGAUACCCGGGUAGUC
rnacentral:rRNA from 1 species